GCCCGGGGGUGGCCGCGGCGGGGGGCGAGUUCGCCUUCGCCUAUCUGGCCUGGCUCAUCUACUCCAUCGCCUUCACGCCUAAGGUGGUGCUCAUCCUGGGCACGUCCAUCCUGGAUCUCAUCGAGCUGCGCGCGCCCUUUGGCACCACGGGCUUCCGCCUCACCGUGGCGCUGUCGGUGCCGCUGCUCUACAGCUUGGUGCGGGCCAUCAGCGAGGCAGGCGCGCCUCCGGGCUCGGCGGGACCUCUGCUCCUGCAGCCGCAGCAGCACCGCGCCGCUGGCUGCUUCCUGGGCACGUGUCUGGACCUGCUCGACAGUUUCACCCUGGUGGAGCUGAUGCUGGAAGGCCGAGUGCCUCUGCCCGCACACCUGCGCUACCUGCUCAUCGCGGUCUACUUCCUCACCCUCGCCUCGCCGGUGCUCUGGCUCUACGAGCUGAACGCCGUGGCCGCCGCCGCUUGGUCCUGGGGCCAGGCCUCGGGGCCCGGCAGCUGCAGCCGCCUUCUGCGCCUGCUUGGCGGCUGCCUGGUGGACGUACCCUUGCUGGCCCUGCGCUGCCUCCUGGUGGUGAGCUACCAGCAGCCCCUCUCCAUCUUCAUGCUCAAGAACCUCUUCUUCCUCGGCUGCCGUGGCCUGGAGGCCCUGGAGGGCUGCUGGGACCAGGGGAGCCGGACCUCUCCCAGUCAGGCCAGAGGUGGCUACGGUGCUCCUCCCUCUGCUCCUCCACCACCGCCACCGCCUCCACCGCCACCUCAGGGAGGCUCCCAGCUAGGUCACUGCAUCUCUGAGAAUGAGGGGGGGCCCCAUGGCUAUGUCAACACCUUGGCUGUGGCCUCCCAGAACUGAUGGGGUGAAGGGCAAGGGGCCUUGCUUUGGGGUUGAGAGUGUGCCGCUCCCUCGGCCUCUGACCUUCUCUCACCCAGGUUUGAUCAGGCUCUGUUUAGAAGUGACUGUUACUAGGGCUGAGGGCCGGCGUGUUCCUCUGUACCCAAGGGGUACUGCUUGGAGAGGACCCCUAGUGAAUUGAGAGGGAGGUCCGUCUACUUACCUUGUGCUCUGGUCUUCACCCAAUACCUGACCUCCAAGGAGCUGGAAAACUAUGCUUCCUGCUUUUCCUGCCUCCACCCUGCUUCCCAUCCACUGUGGGGGAGAAUGGAGGACAGGGGGUGUUGUGGCGGGGACUUUGGCCUUCACCAGGCUCUUUAGGUUGUGGGUGGUGUCUGUUGCCUCAGAAUCCACUCUUCCCCUGAGGAGUCUCUACCAGAAGGUAGAUGAAAGUGCGUGUCUGUGUGUGUGUGUGUGUGUGUGUGUGUGUGUGUGUGUGUGGCGGUGUCUCCUUGAGUCUACCCUGUGGCCCUUUGCCAUCCAUAGAUCAGAAGGCUUGCCUUCCCCACCGCACAUACCACCACCGUUCUCUUUCCAGCUUGAAUUUGUGAGCAUGAAUUCCCAGGAAGAGCGGGCCUUGGAGCUGCCCAGUUACUCUCCUCCAAGGGAGAAGCUGACCCAGGGUCUUCCUCAACUCCUCUCCUCCCUUCUCAGCUUGAGGAGGAGGGUGUCCCGCACUCGAAGGACCAAAUGGCACCCUUUUGUGGGUGAGCGAGCAAUUCUACCUCCAUUCUUUCAACUUUUGCUGCAUCAUGUGCUGAUGCUGCUUGCAAAAAAAUAGAAACAAAAUACUCAGAAUUUGCAUUCAACGUGGCCACCAGACCCUGUUGGGCUUUGGUGCCAGUAUGGUUACAGGGUCUGUGGAGUAUCAGCCAUUGGCUUGGCCGCCUGUUCCUCCCUCUGUGCCCAGAAGAGUUCUCCUUCCUGCAGCUUCGUCCUGGCUGGGUCAGAACAGGACGCAGCAGCAGCUUUAGGGGAAGAGGUGCCUGGAUGGAUGUGAAAUUGGGCUUCCUGUGGGCCCAAGGAGUAGGACACAACACCCUACCUGUCCCUCCUCUGGGAAGCUUGGUGUAGAUCAGAAAGGGUGGCAGUGCCCUCUCUCCUUUGCUCUGCUGACAGGACUCUGGAGGGAAAAAGAGGCAGUAGAGCCCUGCCCCCGAGUCUGCCCAGACUCCUCUUACUGAGGCGAUGGCAAAAGACAACCCAGGGUUGCCCCGCUGGAGUCUUGAUGUGGGACAUUGCUUUGGAGUCUCUGAGGCAAGACAAAUAUUUUUAGGGAGGCAAGGAUACAGGAAGACUGCAGGGAGCAAGGCCAGGAAACACUCGCUUUCCUUCACCCACAAUAUGUUAAGGGUGGGGGAAAAUGUGAGGAGUUUUGGUUCCCCUUCUCCUUUUUUUCUGCUGUGGGAGUUCCAUGUAGUGUAACAAAUCCUGGAGCAGAAGGCAUGGAAGACAUGGAUUCUAAUUCUGUCUCUGUCACUCACUAGUUUUGAGUGUUGGAUCAUUUUUUACUUUCUGGGCCUUAGUUACCUUCCAACUCUAGCACUGUUUGAGUUUAGAGUUCUUGAAAACCCUGAUCACCUGUGAAACACAGUAAAAGCGGAGAGGAGAGGAGCCAGCUACAAUCCACCUUCGGGCCAUUUUCCCUGUUUUGCUCUGGGGAUGUCUGAAGCCUCAGGCUGGGAGUGAGAAGGCACCCGGCAGGGUGGAAGGCUGGGCCUGUCACUGCUGCCCUGUCCCAAGCUUCCCAAGAGCCCCUAGCACAGGGAGGGGCCCAAAGUGCCAAGUUACUGGCCACUAGCUCAGCAGCCAGGCCAGUGGUCACCCUUCUUUUGGUUUUGCUGGAUUCUCCAAGAAGUGAGGGCUACUGGGGGCCCUUUUCUUCCACCCGCCUUGGGGUUUGUGGGCAGAAGGUGCCAUGGAGGCAGGGAUACACGAGGGGCCGAGGGCAGACGUGGGUGCCUGGAGCCCACCCAGCCCUCAGAAUGGGCACCGGUGGGGAAAUGUUUACAGUCAGUGCACUCUGCGCUCCUCAGCCAGUACUGGUGGGCUGGAUUUCUGCCAUCUCUCCUUCCUCUAACGGGCUCCUCUUCUCUGCUGUUGGACUCAAGGUUCGAGGCCCCAGGCCCAGGUGGGACGAUGGCUGCUGCCACUGUUCCUACCCAUUUCUUCUCUCCAGCUCUGCUGUGUUUUUCUACUACCUAACCUCAGUGACUGUGAAAGGACAUUAUUUCUGAGCCAUGGCCGGUGCUGGCUGGCCCCCUGACCCAUGCUCUUCCUACUGUUUUGAUGGCCAUCUGGCUGCCAAGUGAUUGGCUCGCUGUGACCUCUGAGUGCUGUCUGCUUUUGAAUGGGCUGUGAUAGGUUCUGAUGGGCUGCCACUUCCCUGGGUCCGUCAAGAGGCCGAUUCUGGCAGAGGCCAGGCCUUCAGGUCCAGUUGAGGGACCCCAGUUCAACUUGGGCAUCUCCCUUUACACAUUUGGUACAGUGACUGUGCUCAGGAUGCUGGUCCCUUCCUUCUGGUGUGUUUUUCUUGGGUCCUGUCGUUCAUUGUCCUUGGCCCACCUACAAUAAGCAGUGGCCCCCGGAGCUCCACUUUCCUUGCUUUCUAGGCCAUCUAGAGUGCAGGGCUCACACUUGAGUGCUCCCCAGGGGUCUGAUGACCAGGAUGGUGAGCAGUCUCCUGGAGACCUAUGCCAGCAGCAGGGUUUACAGAAAAGAACCCUGGGCUCAGAUGGGGACCCGCCUGCUGUUAAUGUCUGAGCAUGUAAGUGGCAGCAGGGGUAGAAGGUUUCUCUGUCUGAACCCUCAAAACCUUUUCCAUUUUAUUUUUUGUAGUUUUAUGGAUGGAUGCCAGGGCCUUGUUUUUAGCAGGCAAGUGCUCUACCACUGAGCUACCUCCCCCGCCUUAAACCUUAUUUGUUUAAAAAAAAAAAAAAAGACUAGAGGGCUAGGGAUUUAGCUCAGUGGUUCUGCUGCCUGCCUUGCAAACACAAGGUCCCGAGUUCAAUUCCCAGUACGAAAAAAAAAGACUAGACCCUCUCUAAAGACUUGUUCCCUUCUCCUUUUUGUGACCUAGGGUUUUGCUAUGGUGCCCCAGGCUGCCUCAAAGUCCUGGGCUAAAUCGAUGCCCCUGCCUCAGCCUCCUGAGCAGUGGGGACUACAGGUGUGCGCCACCAUGCCUAGCUUGGCCUCUUCCUUGUUAGCAUCCAUUGGUACUGAGCCUGUGGGUUUUUGUAGAAGAAAGUUAGCUGAGCGUUAGAGCCUGGAAGGAGGGAAGUGGCACCUCACUAGCAUUUAUCGUGGUUUUUUUUUUCUUUCUCUUUUUAAAAAUAACAUGAGACUGUUCUGAAAAUAAAAAACUUGAGACUUGUGACAAGCUUCCUGUGUGGUUUAAGAUCUUUUCUGUCCUGGUUUCCUUACUAAAUUCUUAAAUGUCACUGUGACAUUUAUCAUCAUUUUAUAGGUUGGGGUUAGCAUCAUGGGGACACCUUGGCUAGGCAGUUGGCAUGCAGAGGCUGUAGUCCAGGCCUGGGGACCUAGCCAGGUCUUCUGUGGGCGUGGCUAACUUGGGAGGGCUUGGCUGAGAUGGACUUCCCCUGUUGCUCUGGGAUCCCACCCGAAGACUAACUUACCAAGGAGGAAAAGGCUGGAGAAACAGAUCUUUUGUUUGAGACAGGGCCACCCUAUGUUACACAGGCUGGCCUCUUACUGCUGGGCCCAAGUGAUCCUUCUGCCUCAGCCUACUGAGUAGCUGGGACUACAGGUAUGUACCACCACACCUACAAGAAACUGAUUUUUAUUUGUUUGUUUGUUUAUACCAGGGAUCGAACUCAGGACCUUGUGCUUGCGAGGCAGACACUGGAACGACUGAGUUAAAUCCCCAGCCCUCAGAAAUUAAUUUUUAAAUACUCUUCCUUCAUAACUCUUGUCCCAGCCAGAAGCACAAAUUCUUCUGUAUGAAUAACAAUACUACCAUUUUUGGGGGCUUGUUUGUUGUAACAUAAGGGGACAAUUAAGUCUAAGGCAGAGUAUUGAGC
ensembl:lncRNA